GAUUUGCAGGUGCCACGAGGAAAUGCUUAUGUCAAACCAUACGAGCGCACUUUUGCUUAGAAACUAUGGGAAAUUCCUGUGUAAGGUUGAGAAAGACCGCGAGAGUGGAGGAAUAUUACGGAGGAGUGAUCCUCGUUAAUCCCAGCGACGGCAAACUUCGUUCUCUGUACGAAGACGCCGAUUGGAGAAAAGAAGAAGAGAGAGCU